rnacentral:rRNA from 1 species
ACGCUUGCCGGGCCGCAUGGCNUGGUAAGGAAAGGUAGCUUCGGCCNUCCGGCGAGGGAUGGGCCCGCGGUGCAUUAGCUAGUUGGUGGGGUAACGGCUCACCAAGGCGACGAUGCAUAGCUGGUUUGAGAGGAUGAUCAGCCACACUGGGACUGAGACACGGCCCAGACUCCUACGGGAGGCAGCAGUCGGGAAUNUUGCGCAAUGGGCGAAAGCCUGACGCAGCAACACCGUGUGGGCGACGAAGGCCUUCGGGUNGUAAAGCCCUGUUGUUGGGGACGAAGGGCAAAGGGUUAAUAGCCCUUAGCCUGACGGUACCUUCGGAGGAAGCCCCGGCUAAUAACGUGCCAGCAGCCGCGGUAAUACGUAGGGGGCGAGCGUUGUCGGGAAUUAUUGGGCGUAAAGAGCGUGUAGGCGGUUUGGUAANUCUGCCGUGAAAACCCGGGGNUCAACCCCGGGCGUGCGGUGGAUACUGCCAGGNUAGAGGGUGGUAGAGGCGAGUGGAAUUCCCGGUGUAGCGGUGAAAUGCGCAGAUAUCGGGAGGAACACCGGUAGCGAAGGCGGNUCGCUGGGCCAUUCCUGACGCUGAGACGCGAAAGCUAGGGGAGCAAACAGGAUUAGAUACCCUGGUANUCCUANCCGUAAACGAUGAACACUAGGUGUGGGGGGGGUCGAAUCCCUCUGUGCCGCAGCCAACGCGUUAAGUGUUCCGCCUGGGGAGUAC